rnacentral:rRNA from 1 species
UACGAGGGGGGCGAGCGUUGUUCGGAAUUAUUGGGCGUAAAGGGCGCGUAGGCGGCCUUCUAAGUCGAACGUGAAAUCUCCUGGCUCAACUGGGAGCUUGCAGGCGAAACUGCCGUGCUGGAGUGUGGGAGAGGUGCGUGGAAUUCCUGGUGUAGCGGUGAAAUGCGUAGAUAUCAGGAGGAACACCUGUGGCGAAAGCGGCGCACUGGACCACAACUGACGCUGAGGCGCGAAAGCUAGGGGAGCAAACAGG